rnacentral:rRNA from 1 species
CGAACGGCUGAGUAACACGUGGGCAACCUGCCCUUUGCACUGGGAUAGCCUCGGGAAACCGAGGUUAAUACCGGAUACUCCAUAUCCAUCGCAUGAUAGAUAUGGGAAAGCUCCGGCGGCAAAGGAUGGGCCCGCGGCCUGUUAGCUAGUUGGUGGGGUAGUGGCCUACCAAGGCAAUGAUGGGUAGCCGGGUUGAGAGACCGACCGGCCAGAUUGGGACUGAGACACGGCCCAGACUCCUACGGGAGGCAGCAGUU